GGGCGUAUGGUUUAAUGGUAUAACAUCUUCUUAGCAUUCGCUGAUAUAGCGAGUUCCUGAGUUGGAGAAGGUCCCCGGUUCGAUUCCGGGUUCGUCCA